UACGUAGGGGGCAAGCGUUGUCCGGAAUUAUUGGGCGUAAAGAGCGUGUAGGCGGUCCGGUAAGUCAGCUGUGAAAGUCAAGGGCUCAACCCUUGAAUGCCGGUUGAUACUGUCGGGCUAGAGUCCGGAAGAGGCGAGUGGAAUUCCCGGUGUAGCGGUGAAAUGCGCAGAUAUCGGGAGGAACACCAAUGGCGAAGGCAGCUCGCUGGGACGGUACUGACGCUGAGACGCGAAAGCGUGGGAG
rnacentral:rRNA from 1 species